UAACAGGAAGAAGCUUGCUUCUUUGCUGACGAGUGGCGGACGGGUGAGUAAUGUCUGGGAAACUGCCUGAUGGAGGGGGAUAACUACUGGAAACGGUAGCUAAUACCGCAUAACGUCGCAAGACCAAAGAGGGGGACCUUCGGGCCUCUUGCCAUCGGAUGUGCCCAGAUGGGAUUAGCUAGUAGGUGGGGUAAUUGCUCACCUAGGCGGGAAACACCUAGAUGGUGUGAGAGGAUGACCAGCCACACUGGAAUUUUUCUCUCGGUCCAGGGACAUACGGGANGCAUUCACUCCUAUCUUGCUAUAAACCUC
rnacentral:sRNA from 1 species